GCAUUCUUGUUGUGGACCCCCGGUUCCCUGGUUCGUGCCAUGACUCUUGGGUGUGGCAGCGUAACCCGCUGCGUGCACGCCUAGCCGCACAACUGCAGCCUGGCGAGUAUCUGCUUGGAGACUCAGGAUAUCCUCUCGAGCCAUGGCUGCUUGUUCCAGUACCUGGCAGCCAUGCCGGCACCACCUCUGAAGGCCACUACAACCAGGAGCACGCAUCCAUGCGCAAUGUUGUGGAGAGAUGUAUCGGGGUGUUGAAAAGCAAGUUCCGCUGCUUGCAGCGCUUUCGGACACUGCUGUACAGCCCCGAUAGAGCAGCGCGAAUCAUUUAUGCAUGCGUUGCUCUCCAUAACAUUGCCUUGGAGGCGGGCGACUGGACAUUGGAGGAUUAUGGUGGGGAAGUGCCACCAGCUGAGGAGCCAGAGGAGCCAGGAGACAUCCAGGUGCUGGCACCACAAGACGUGUUCCUCAGAGGAAGGCAGCAGCGCAGCGCAGUUGUCAACCUUUUCUGAAGGACACAGGAAUGGUGCUCAGCGAUGUCCUGCGCUAUGGCGCGCACCUGUUCCAGGAUCCCCUCCUGGGCUGCUGCCGUCCGUUCUGCCGCGACAGCGAGGCGGGUUGUUGAAGUC
rnacentral:lncRNA from 1 species